GACGUAGGGGCGAGCGUUAUUCGGAAUUAUUGGGCGUAAGCGCUCGUAGGCGGGAUCGAAUAGUCCGUGAAGAAAGACCUGGGCUCAACUCAGGGAACGGCACGGAUACUUCGAUUCUUGAGGCAAUCAGAGGGUGAUGGAAUUCCCGGUGUAGCAAGUGAAAUGCGUAGAUAUCAGGAGGAACACCGAUGGCGAAGGCAGGUCUCUGGGCUGACACUGACGCUCAUGACAC
rnacentral:rRNA from 1 species